rnacentral:misc_RNA from 1 species
GAGAAUGAUCCGAUCAAUGUUGCGUUUGUCGAUGUUGGGCAUGCCAGCAUGCAGGUUUGCAUUGCUGGAUUCAAGAAGGGGCAGCUCAAGAUACUGGCCCAUUCCUACGACAGGUCCCUUGGUGGUAGGGAUUUUGAUGAAGCAUUGUUCACGCAUUUUGCUGCCAAGUUCAAGGAUGAGUACAAGAUUGAUGUCUAUCAGAAUGCCCGUGCUUGCCUCCGGCUCCGUGCAGCUUGUGAGAAGCUGAAGAAGAUGUUGAGUGCUAACCCUGAGGCUCCGCUGAAUAUCGAGUGUUUAAUGGAUGAGAAGGAU